GCUAUAUAGCUAGCCACAACCUGUAUUCAAUUACACAAUAUACAUAACUACACAAGACUUACCAACUUAAACUAAACCAUUUUACCACCCAAGUAUCGGAGAGAGAAAAGGACACACGCGCAAUAGAAAAAGUACCGCAAGGGAAAGCUGAAAAAGAAAUGAAACAACCCAUUAAAGCACAAAAAAGCAGAGAUUAUUACUCGUACCUUUUGCAUCAUGAUCUAGCUAGUAAAAUCAGGCACAGAGAACUUUAGUCUGACACCCCGAAACUAGACGAGCUACUCCAAGACAGCCUAAAAGGGCAAACCCGUCUCUGUGGCAAAAGAGUGGGAAGAGCUUCGAGUAGAGGUGAUAAACCUAACGAGCCUAGUUAUAGCUGGUUGCUUAGGAAAUGAAUAUUAGUUCUGCCUUGUGACCUUCUCCUAUCAAAUUAAUAAGAAACCAAAAGAAUGAAAGUUAGCCACAAGAGUUAAUCAAAGGAGGUACAGCUCCUUUGAAAAAGAAUACAACCUUAAAGAAAGGGUAAGGAUCAUAUUAACAAAGGCAAUUUGCUAUAGUGGGCCUAAAAGCAGCCACCAACACAGAAAGCGUUAUAGCUCAAACAAACCAUACCCUAUUAUACCGAUAACUAAUCCAAACCCUUCACCCAUACUAAGCCAUCCUAUGCUUGCAUAGGAGUGACACUGCUAGAAUUAGUAAUAAGAAGGCAAGACCUUCUCCCAGCACAUGUGUAAGUCAGAUCGGACCACCCACUGACAAUUAAAGAACUCAAAUACAGAGAGAAUCUCAAACUAAAAAAUAUGCAAGAAAAACCUGAGCCAUAAAUCGUUAACCCAACACAGGUGUGCACAAUCAGGGAAAGACAAAAUGAAAGAAAAGGAACUCGGCAACCAGGGCCCCGCCUGUUUACCAAAAACAUGGCCUCUUGCUAAAUACUGAAUAAGAGGUCCAACCUGCCCAGUGACAUAAGUUUAACGGCCGCGGUAUUUUAACCGUGCUAAGGUAGCGUAAUCACUUGUCUUUUAAAUGAAGACCCGUAUGAAAGGCGUCACGAGGGCCCUACUGUCUCCUCUUUCAAGUCUAUGAAAUUGAUCUGCCCGUGCAGAAGCGGGCAUAAAUCCAUAAGACGAGAAGACCCUGUGGAGCUUAAGACAUAAAACCAACUGUGCAUAGUAACCUAAACACCUAAUGAAUAAAAAUCAAUAAAGCAUAGCAGCCAUGGUUUAAAUAUCUUCGGUUGGGGCGACCAUGGGGGAUAAAAAAGCCUCCAAGAAGAAUCAGGGGAUCAGUUAAAUGGAUCCCUAAGAACCAAGAACUACAAUUCUAAGCAACAGAAAAUUCUGACUAAUAAUGACCCGGAUUAAAACCCGAUCAACGAACCAAGUUACCCCAGGGAUAACAGCGCAAUCCUUUCCAAGAGCCCGUAUCGCCGAAAGGGUUUACGACCUCGAUGUUGGAUCAGGACAUCCUAGUGGCGAAAAUUCUACCAAGGGUUCGUUUGUUCAACGAUUAAAGUCCUACGUGAUCUGAGUUCAGACCGGAGCAAUCCAGGUCGGUUUCUAUCUAUGUAUUGACUCUUCCUAGUACGAAAGGACCGGAAGAGGUAAAGUCCAUGCUUAAAGCAUACUUUACCCUUAUUUGAUGAAUACAACUAAAUCAACAAAAGGGCAUACUAACCAGCCAAAGACUAUGGCA
rnacentral:rRNA from 1 species